CAGCUUUUUGCUGUUUAGCACCUGGGAAUAAUUUGAGCUUUUGACACUAGUUUUUUGUGAUGUUGACAUCUCAGGAACCAUAAAAGUCAACAUUUCGCUUCCUGAAGCGGUUCCGGUGGAAGAAAUAGGGCACCAAUCUGCAGCACCAGAGCAAACUCAAACAACAGCAGCAAAACUGUCAACAAGAUGCUGCUGCCACACGAAGCCCAGGAGUGUUCAGCC